UCCUGGUUUCCCAGGCAGUCCCAUCAGAGUGCCCAUAAAAAUGGUAGCAACUGACGGCAAGAGUUGCGCUCGUUAGAGGACUUAACCAGACAUCUCACGACACGAGCUGACGACAGCCAUGCAGCACCUGUUCACCUGUCCAAGCAAGCUUGGAAGAUUAUAUUUCUAUAACUGUCAGGUGUAUGUCAAGCCUAGGUAAGGUUCCUCGCGUAGUGUCGAAUUAAACCACAUGUUCCACCGCUUGUGCGGACCCCCGUCAAUUCCUUUGAGUUUUAGUCUUGCGACCGUAGUUCCCAGGCGGAUCACUUAACGCGUUAGCUACGAUACUGAUCUCGCAAAGCAAGACCAACAUCAAGUGAUCAUCGUUUACAGCGUGGACUAC
rnacentral:misc_RNA from 1 species